rnacentral:snRNA from 1 species
GUCUCUUCGGAGACAUCCGAUAAAAUUGGAACGAUACAACAAAGAUUAGCAUGGCCACUACGCAUGGAUGACACGCACAAAUGGAGAAAUGGUCCAAAUUUUU